GACGAACGCUGGCGGCGUGCCUAAUACAUGCAAGUAGAACGCUGAAGGAGGAGCUUGCUUCUCUGGAUGAGUUGCGAACGGGUGAGUAACGCGUAGGUAACCUGCCUGGUAGCGGGGGAUAACUAUUGGAAACGAUAGCUAAUACCGCAUAAGAGUAGAUGUCGCAUGACAUUUGCUUAAAAGGUGCACUUGCAUCACUACCAGAUGGACCUGCGUUGUAUUAGCUAGUUGGUGAGGUAACGGCUCACCAAGGCAACGAUACAUAGCCGACCUGAGAGGGUGAUCGGCCACACUGGGACUGAGACACGGCCCAGAAUCCUACGGGAGGCAGCAGUAGGGAAUCUUCGGCAAUGGACGGAAGUCUGACCGAGCAACGCCGCGUGAGUGAAGAAGGUUUUCGGAUCGUAAAGCUCUGUUGUAAGAGAAGAACGAGUGUGAGAGUGGAAAGUUCACACUGUGACGGUAUCUUACCAGAAAGGGACGGCUAACUACGUG
rnacentral:rRNA from 1 species